CAUUCUGUAUGCCUAUCUGGUAGUCCUUUACCUCUAUCUUCUAUAGUCUGUCUAUUAUCUAUUUAGGUAUUAUCUGUAGGCUUGAUUUCCUUUACUCAUCAAUCAUUAAUCAUUUUACUUUUGUACUCUUGGGUUUCGAGCUAUUUGUUAUACAGUCCAUGCAGACAGUAUCGUAUACCUCAUAGCUUAUCUAUCCAUUUACUGCUUCUAUGUGUACACACGUAGUCUACCUAUUUGCUGCUCCUAUGUAUAUGCACAUAGCCUUUACUGCUAGAUCACACUGUUGUGACAAUUUACUGCUGAGCAUUGUGAUACUUCCGCCUCGUGGUCAUCGGGGUUCCUGAUCUGAAUCAAGGGAGUCCAUUAGCACUUGCAAAAUAUCAUACAUCUCUGGCUGUGGCUCCGACCCACUCACACACAAUACUGCUGCUUCCAUGCAUAUGCACGUUGGCCUAGGUCAAUUUUGGUAUCAGAGCCAAGUCAUUUCAGGGAGGGGAUCUGUCGAUUUUUAGCGGUGUAGAGUGGAUCGGAUAGAU
rnacentral:lncRNA from 1 species